rnacentral:rRNA from 1 species
CUAGAUGACGCUGGCGGCGUGCUUAACACAUGCAAGUCGAACGAUGAUCCGCUGCUUGCAUCGGGGAUUAGUGGCGAACGGGUGAGUAACACGUGAGUAACCUGCCCUUGACUCUGGGAUAAGCCUGGGAAACUGGGUCUAAUACCGGAUACGACCAUUUGACGCAUGUCAUGGUGGUGGAAAGCUUUUGCGGUUUUGGAUGGACUCGCGGCCUAUCAGCUUGUUGGUGGGGUAAUGGCCUACCAAGGCGACGACGGGUAGCCGGCCUGAGAGGGUGACCGGCCACACUGGGACUGAGACACGGCCCAGACUCCUACGGGAGGCAGCAGUGGGGAAUAUUGCACAAUGGGCGAAAGCCUGAUGCAGCGACGCCGCGUGAGGGAUGACGGCCUUCGGGUUGUAAACCUCUUUCAGUAGGGAAGAAGCGAAAGUGACGGUACCUGCAGAAGAAGCGCCGGCUAACUACGUGCCAGCAGCCGCGGUAAUACGUAGGGCGCAAGCGUUAUCCGGAAUUAUUGGGCGUAAAGAGCUCGUAGGCGGUUUGUCGCGUCUGCUGUGAAAGACCGGGGCUCAACUCCGGUUCUGCAGUGGGUACGGGCAGACUAGAGUGAUGUAGGGGAGACUGGAAUUCCUGGUGUAGCGGUGAAAUGCGCAGAUAUCAGGAGGAACACCGAUGGCGAAGGCAGGUCUCUGGGCAUUAACUGACGCUGAGGAGCGAAAGCAUGGGGAGCGAACAGGAUUAGAUACCCUGGUAGUCCAUGCCGUAAACGUUGGGCACUAGGUGUGGGGGACAUUCCACGUUUUCCGCGCCGUAGCUAACGCAUUAAGUGCCCCGCCUGGAGUC